UCAAUUCAUGUUCUACACUAUACAUUAUCGAAUUUAUACAUUCAUCUUUAUUCUCUACACAACAUUCUACAUUCUAAUCAUUCGAAGUUUCUAUUACAUAUUACAUAUAUGAAUCUUCGCGAUUUUGUUGAGGGCUUAUUCGGUGGCCUAUCAACUAUUACACCACAAUCUAAAUUUCUCAAUCAAUUUAUUAGCCUCAACAAUGUCCUCGUGCCUGGUGGUUUGUCGAGAAUGUGACCAAUGGGUGUUGAUAAUACUUACAAAAAUAGUAACCCAAUUGAUUUGGAUGACAUUGAUGAAGAGGCCUGUGAAGAGAAAAUAUAAAUUCUCAAUAUAAGAGGGAAGUGAAAGUAAAAAAAAAAAACAAAAAAACAAAAAACACCCCAAACAAACAAAACUAUAUAUAGUGAUGGAAUGAUCAAGUUCAUUGUGGAUGCAGAGUUCCUACUAUAUACAGUGGACAACGAACAUUUCAUAAUUAAUAUUCGUAAAAGAAUAUCUCCAACCAAAGUAUGAAGGGAUAAAUAGAAAUGCUCUUCCUAAUGAUACUAUAGAAAUAUUUUGAUAUAUAUAUAUAUAUUACAAUGUUAUCUUUUAUUUUAGAUCUAGUGAAAGGUAUAAAUAAAAAAGAUUAUAUAGCAGUAACUGCACAAUACAGUGUCACUUUGUGUAAUACAUAAAAAAAUUAUUGUUUUUAAGAUAAUUGAAUUUUCUCAUGCAAAUUACUAAGGAAUUUCACUUUGAAAGUAAAAUUUGUUCUUUUAUGUUUGAUGGUGCUAGUGUUAAUAAGGCUAUACUAGAUAAAUUUUGUAGAAUACUUAAUCUUGAUUUUGGGGGGUUUUAUUUCAUGUGCAUUUUGUGUGUGUGUGUGUUGUCACAUUUUUAAUGUAGUUGUGGAAGAUGGUAUGAAAAAUAUUAAUGAGCAAAUUGAUAGAAUUAGGAUUGCACUAAUAUAUAGCAUGAUAUCACCAAGUAGGAAACAAACAUUUGAGAAACUUUGUGUACCAUAUGACCAAGAUUCCAUAAAAUUAUAAUUGACGUAGAACAUUGAUGAAACUCUACUUAUUUAUUAUUAAAAUCAAUAAAGGAUAUCAACAUUUAAUUACUGAAUUUUGUAACUUUAGGCAUGUAAGAAAUGAUCAAUAUUUUGAUUUGACUGAUUCUAAUUGAGAACUAACCUUUAAAGUCCUCCUAAAAUGCUUGCUGAAUUAGUUAGAUAUUUAUAUCAUCAAAUGCUUAGAAGCGUAGAAUUGGUAAGACGGACAUUUUCAAAUACAACAUAAGUAUGAAGAAAUUGCAUGUAAUCAGGUAAAUGAUAUUUAAUUUCAUCAUCUAAUUAAACUUUGUUAUUCUUUUAAUAGUAAAUUGGUUUUUAAUAGUGAUUCACAAUUGGUGAUAAGUCAAGUAAAUGGCAACUUCACUACAAGGGACGAGUAUGGCAGCAUACCUUAAGCGGGUCAUUGGUUUUUUUUUUUUUUUUUUUUCCAUCUUUUGUAAAAUUUGAGUUAGCACAAAUCCCAUGCAUUGAGAAUGUCCACAGCAAUGGCUUAUCCAAGUUGGCUAACAACAAGGAUUUAGAGUUGCUCAAGGUGGUCCCAGUUGAAUAACUUGCCAAACCUUCUAUCUCCAAAAAAAGAAAAGUCAUGUGAAUUGGAGGAAUCCCAUCUUGGAUGCAGUCAAUUAUUACCUUUCUCAAAAAUUAAGUCCUACCAUAUAAUAGAGAAGAGGCCACAAACUCAGGAAAAGGGUUGCGUAUUUUUUGCUCCAGGAUUAUGUGCUAUAUAAGAGAGGGUUUUCCUCGCUUCUUUUUCAAUACACUGGUGGCGAAGAUGCUAACUAUAUUCUUUGUAAAAUUCAUGAAGGAGUUCAUGGAAACCAUACAGCAGGUCAGUACUGGGGCAUAAAUAAUUCUCAAUAUAAGACAGAAGGAAAAACAAAAAAAAAAAAAAAUUCUACAAAGAAUUGGGAAAACUUAAAAUGAUUUCAACGAAUGUAAUGUCGAUGGAGUCCAAGAGUUUAAGACAGCGUGUAAAUACUGCCAAUAAUGAUUGAUAUGGUAAAAGGGUAUUGAUACUACCUACCUUAACCGUCACUAUGCCAAAUGUAUGCCAAACAUGAUUUUGUUGGUAAAUUUCAAACGCAACUAACCUUUGAUACUUCUUCUUUCGAUGGUUGUUCAGCUUCAACACUAAGCACAUGGAUAUAUUAGAAAGAACUAGUUGAUUAUUCAUUUAUAUAUAUAUGAUGGUGUUAUAUCUUUUACUUCAGUUUAGUGAAAGGUAUAAAUAAAAAGGAUUAUAUAGUAGAACUGUACGCUACAGUCUCACUUCGUGUAAUGCAUAAAAAAAAUUAGUAGCUAUUCUCUUCGUGUUUGAGUUUUGUAGUUUUGAGUUUUGAAUCCAUUUUGAGUUGUGUUUUGAGUGGCCGUGUUGAAAUUGUUGAAAAUUGUUCUUUUU
rnacentral:lncRNA from 1 species